AAUUUGUUGAACAUUUUUUUGAAACAUUUUUUUUAUUUUUAAAUUCUAACGAUGCUAAAUUCAAAGUAUUUUAGAGUGUUAUAAAUGUAUAGUAAUUACUAAUCAGUUAAGUGAUGACGUGCAUUUAUGAACAUAGCUCUAAUAACACAUACAUUAUUAAAUAUUUAUUGUAUUGCUUUGGGCGCAUUACCAAGCGCUGAUUUCGCCAACUAUCGUUAUUCUUCAAACCUACAUUGCAAACGAUGCUGCUCUCUGUUAAAAUAAUAAAUUUAAAACAAUCCAAUAUUAAUUUCACGACUCGGUUUGAGAAAUUAGCUGUUGUUUGACAGACCUCUACUUUAUCUAUAUUACUACACAAAGUUUACAUAGCUAAAAAAUACAAAUAACAAGAAUUUAUGAAAAAUUUAAGAUAUUAUUAUAAAACUAUUAUGCAUAGGUACAUAUAUAUAUAUAUGCUUAUUAUGUGAAACAAAUUCAAAUUUCAUAUUUGAGUAAAUCAUAUUGAAAACGUAUGUAUUUGUUCGCUAUUAAAUUAAAAAUUAUGUGUGUCAAUUUUUUUCAAAAUAUCAUCCAAAAUCUUAAUGAAUCGAUAUUUUUAUUUAUAUAAUACAAUAUUAUUUGAGAUUUAUUUGUUAAACUCCUUGCGUUUGCUAAACUUUGGGUCGAGCUUUAUCCCCGCUUGAUGUUAUAUGUGUUAAAGCUUCCUAAAAGGAUUGUUUUAAUAUUGGGGAUAUGUGUAUAAACACACAGUUUUAUUAGUCGAAACCUGGAAUUAACGGAGAGUUGUCAUAAUUUAUACUAUAUCAUAAGGCCAACUCUUGCAGUAUAGCUCAACUGAAAUCCGUUAAUGCUUAAUCAUUACUUAAAUCUUUUUGUGAAAUUACUACUAAUAUAAAUAAAAAAUUAGUCAAUACCUUUAAUUUUCUGAAAGAUUCGAGAAUUCGCCAAUGUUUGCUGGGAUGCAUGUACGAUAAUAUUUCAGAUAUUCGCAUAUACAUACAUAUAUUGUAAAUAUAUAUGUACAUACAUAUAUAUGUAUAUAAAAACAUAUUUAUGUUAUUCAAACGUUAUAGCGUCAUGCAUUUAGGCACGUAUAACUCCUAUGUACAUAUGCACAUACUAUACAGAAAUUUAUUAAUUUGACAUAUGCAUAGUUUAAAUGAAUCAAAUCGUAAAGAAUGAGUAAGUUUACUACAAUAAGUGGACAAUAUAAAUGUUAAAAUCGAUUAUUGUUACGUUUUAUAUACAUAAAUAUAUGUUUUCAAAACAUUGGAUAAGUUUCUAGAACUUGCUGUCACCCGGUAGCUUAAGCAAACCGAGUUCCACAUUGUUGGAUUGACUGAUUAAUAAAUUAUACAUAGUAGAUGCAUACAUAUAAAAAACUAUUCAUAAAUAUGUAUGAACAUAUUUAGAAAAACAAAACUGGCUGUGAGCACACGAUUCUAUGCGAGAUUUUUAUAAUUGUUUUUUAUUGUUUUUGUUUCGGUUUUCACUAUAUAUAUUUUAUUAAUAAAAAUAUAUAAUAUACUCAACAAAUAAAUUAAAAUUAUAAGAAGAAAAUGACAUAAUCUAUAAAGUUUCGUUUUUCGUAUUGAUUCAGGUGAUACAUAUAUGGUACAUAUGUAUAUGUGUGCCCGUUGAAUACGUUCCAAAAAGUCGGUAUACCUUCUCGUUUACCGCUACCGUACACAGAAAAGGUAACACAUAAACUCACUGUGUGUUAAAGAGAGACAAACAGACUUAAAACGAAAAUCAAUAAAAGCGAUUUGAUUGUGGAAUUUUCCCGACUUUUCCAAACUGCACAGCCAACAGGUAUAAAUACAGCAACGCCAGUUGGUAUUCUAUCAUUUGUGUUUCAGUCGUGUAACAUAGUGUUUGAAAAUCUUAAAGAGUCAAGUUGUGAAAAAGUGUUACAAUAGUGUGAAAGAAGCAGAAAAUAAUUAUUUUAAAAUGGCAGCCGGAUGUUGGUCUUUGGUGAGGAAAUUACAAGUAUGGCUAGGCGAAGAACCGGGAGGCUAGCAGAGACGAAGUACUUAAGCUUGAGCUUUAUUGGAAAUCAAUGAGAACAGAAGAAAUCUAGGCGCCUCGCCGAUUUUUUUUGGAUGGUUUUUUUUUAUCCAACACACUUGGCUGUCCAUUAGCUGUUACUGCGUACCAUAGUUAUCAAUUAGGCAGGCUGAUUCGGUGAGGAAUUUAUGCUGAACAGACAGGCAGGCUUAUAACAUGGUCACCUAUGUGUUGGGAACAAUUAAGAGGCAGGCGUAAAAAACGGCAGAAAUCUGCAUUGAUAAAUGGCUGUGUAAAGCCUAGAACAUGAGUAAUCCAAUGGAUUUGGGAAAAUGAGUAAGUUGUUGGGCGUCUUUGAAAAGCAAUUUUGUCGUUUUUACUACUUCCGCUACAUGCAAACAUAUGUAUAUAACUAAAUGUUAUUGCAGUUUGCAGAUAAAAACUGAAACACUACUCAGUAUUAAACACAAUAAUUGACCAUAGGCGCAGAGCUCCUCGUUCGUAAUAACAUGAAGACAAAGCGAUAAACCCAUCUACUACAAUAUCCAUAGUACUUACGGCUAAAUAUUAUUCUUCUUCUUCGCCAUUGUUAUUUCUUCUACUACCAGAAAAAGCCCUUGUCAUCGACGGUAGAGGAAUUUAUGAUGCAGAAUUGGUAUUUGUUUUGUUUCACUUAAUUACCUAGGAUAUACAGUUCAUAUAAAUAUAUACAUACUUACGUUAAAAAAAACCCCAGGUUUGCACGAAUUGUUAAGGAACCUAAGACAAAUAUUUUUUUUAUUAUUAAAAAUUUUGAAUUAUAUAUUUUAUAGGUUGAAAGAGUAAAUCAAAUAACUCCAUAUGUACAUGUGUCUUAAACUUACAUAAAUCGAACUUAUUGAAAUAUUGUUUUAUCGGUCUCUUACAUAAUGUACAUGUGUCUUAAACUUACAUAAAUCGAACUUAUUGAAAUAUUGUUUUAUCGGUCUCUUACAUAAUUAUGUUAAUACAAAAUUACUGCGUUAUUUAUCAUAUAUGACCAAACCAAUUUAUAUAAAUCAAAACCAAACACAAUGCAGAGAAAAAAAAACAUAAAAUAAGCUAAAUAAAUUAAGAAAAGCAUUACAAACAUACAAACAAGGGAAAAAUAAAUAACUAUUCCUGCCCACUUUUUAAGUCUUUAAUUAAACUCUUUAGGAACGCCCCAUCGACGACCAAAGUGAGUACAAACGUAAAUAAUACAUAUUCAUAAAUGAGUUUUAAACGUACAUGCAUAUAUAUUUUAUUUUAUUUUAACAUUGCUCGUGGUCUAAGUUUAUAACAAACUGUAGGAAACAACUUCGAAAAUUAAAUAAAAAAUCAAACUAACAGCUGAAAUUAUUAUUAAAUACAUUAAAAACCGACUGGAAUGGCGAAAAACAAUAAAUCAAAUAAAACCUUAGGGGGCUGCAAGCGUAAAGCGCUUUAUAUAUUAAUAUUAUUAUAUAAACCUAAAAAUAAAACAGGGUGUUCCAAAAAUACGUGUAUAUAAAUUCUACGUACCCUUACAAAAAUAUCCGAUAUAUACAAUUACUUAAUAUUCAGUGGACGGUACAACUUAUUAAGCCUAAAUACUAAUCAUUAGAUAGGAAAAACUGCAGAAACAAAUUGCGAUAUUCUGGUGAAAUUACUUCAUUUAAUAUUUCAUUUUGCGGUAUUUUGGACUUAAGUCAUCAUACGAAAAAAUCUAGUUUCUAUAAUUUCAUGCUUUAUUUUUGAGUUUUACAUAAGCAAAUACCUAAUAGUCAACAUCUCCUACAUUUAACAAAGAAUUUCCGAAAAGAAACACUGAAUAUAAUUUUAAUUUCAUUUCAUUGAAAAAUACCAGAAGAUAGACUAUUCGCAAUGUCCAUUCUGUUUACGUGACGAACCAUUAAAAUCCUUACAGUAGUAUAUGGCUCUAUUCAUAAUGUAAAAACAUUUCUUGAAGAUAUAUAUUUUUUUAAAAUAUUUUUUCAUAUUUGUUCAUAUUUUUUUUAAAUAUUUUUUUUUUGUUUUUAAUUGUUUAACUCCUAUUUUUAAUAGUUUUUUUGUUUUGUUAACAAUUUUUGUUUUAUGAUUUUUUUUGUUUUGUCCUGCUCAGUAUUUACUAAAGAAUACAGUUUUUAUUCUUCAAACAUUUCAAUCAUUUAGAUGCGCCACUUCUUUGUCCGUCGUGACUGAGUUUUACUCUGUAUACUUAUAUAAAAUAUUAUAUAUAUAUGAAUAAUAAAGCUAUGCCAAGUCUAUUCAAUAAAAAACUCUUGUGGAUACCGCAUUAAAUUAAUUUUAAUCAGUUUAAUUGCAUUCAGCAACAAACAGCUGGCCACUCUCCAAGUUUUAUCAAACGGAACAAGGGCUAAGUCACAUCAGAACAGAUGUUCAGUUUCUUUCAGUUCCCUAACCCACGUACUGAUCGAUAAUUAGAUUUUUUCCUAUUUUAAGGAAGUUUGUAUUACAUCUCAUUUUCGUCUUUAUAAAUUGUACAACUACACUUUAAUUCUAUUAAAAAUUUCUUUAAACCAUUUCGUUCAAAAUUUCCAGAACUAUUCUACAUAGCAUUUCAAGUCCAAAUACCACAACUGAAAUGUUUAGAUGAAAUGUGAAAUAUUUUACCAGAAUAUUAAGUAAUAAUAUAGAGGUAUAAUUGCUAAUAAUAUAUAAGCUUUUACAAUGCAGAUACGUGGAUAAAUUAACGUAUGACUUAUCAAAACAAUAAUUAUACCCAUAAAAUACAAAGCUGAUGAUUAAUAUGAAAAGCUUUUUAAGAUGUUGAGGUUUAAAUUUUUUUAAGCGUCCGUAAAUGAAAUGGUAUCAAAAAAUAUAAUAGAAAUAAAAUAAACUAUUGUACUAAAAGCAUCUAAACAGUAAAAAAAAUAAGUAUACGAGCGUAUCAACGGUGUAUGAAUUUACUUCUUAAACAUUAAGAAUUACCUACAAUCCUAUUACGAAAAGAGUCGUAAAAUAUUUUUUUGCGAUAUUUCAAUAAUGUAAAAUAUAAGAGACCUCAUAUAUUAUAAAAAAUCUCAUGUAAUUUGUAUUAAUUAAGUAACGUUUAACUCGUCGAAACCUAGAAAUGUUAAAGCCAAAAUAUGUCUUCGAGAGGUGUAUAAAGGAGUUGAAAAGUAAACGGAUAUUUUUUAACCGAGUUAAAGCCCCAUAAAUACGGAAAACUGAGGUAUAAGAGUAAAAGUAAAGCGAUAUUAGUACAGAAGUUGAAAUUAUGGACCCUCAUGCCGUAAACCUAAUAUUUUAUGAAAAAUAUAUGUCUUCGAAAAUAGUAACCAGGAAACGUAAACUAACGACGUAACCUUAAUUUUUUAUGUAAAAAAUAUGUCUUCGAAAAGAGUAAAGCGUUAAUAAUAAAGAAGUUAAGAUAAUAAACCCUAA